rnacentral:rRNA from 1 species
UUAAACAGUUAUAGUUUAUUUGAUAAUUGAAGGUUACAUGGAUAACCGUGGUAAUUCUAGAGCUAAUACAUGCUGUCAAGCCCGACUUUUUGGAAGGGUUGUAUUUAUUAGACUUAAGCCAAUAUUCCUUACGGUCUAUUGCGAUGAUUCAUAAUAACUGAUCGAAUCUCACUGGUUGAGAUAAAUCAUUCAAGUUUCUGCCCUAUCAGCUUUCGAUGGUAGUGUAUUGGACUACCAUGGCAGUAACGGGUAACGAAGAAUUAGGGUUCGGUUUCGGAGAGGGAGCAUGAGAAACGGCUACCACAUCUAAGGAAGGCAGCAGGCGCGUAAAUUACCCAAUCCUGACUCAGGGAGGUAGUGACAAGAAAUAGCAAACCGGGAGCCUCACGGUUUCACGGUAUUGCAAUGAGAACAAUUUAAAACACUUAGCGAGGAUCAAGUGGAGGACAAGUCUGGUGCCAGCACCCGCGGUAAUUCCAGCUCCACUAGCGUAUAUUAAAGUUGUUGCAGUUAAAAAGCUCGUAGUUGAACCUCUGUGUGUGUCUAGUCGGGCUUCGGUUUGGCUAGAUAUAUACAUCCGCCUGCAAGAUCUGGAGGGCAUUCAUUUGUCGCCAGAAGGAGUAGGCAAUUUACUUUGAAAAAAUUAGAGUGUUUCAAGCAGGCGAUCGCCCGCAUAUAUUAGCAUGGAAUAAUAGAAUAGGACACUUUUCCAUUUCAUUGGUUAUUGGAAUCGUGUAAUGAUUAAUAGGGACAGUUGUGGGCAUUUGUAUUUAAUUGUCAGAGGUGAAAUUCUUGGAUUUAUUAAAGACAAACUAACGCGAAAGCAUUUGCCAAGGAUGUUUUCAUUAAUCAAGAACGAAAGUUAGGGGAUCAAAGACGAUCAGAUACCGUCCUAGUCUUAACUAUAAACUAUUCCGACUCGGUGUUUGGGUGGCUAUUUUAACCAUCUGAGCAUCGUAUGAGAAAUCAAAGUCUUUAGGUUCUGGGGGGAGUAUGGUUGCAAAGCUGAAACUUAAAGGAAUUGACGGAAGAGCACAACCAGGAGUGGAUUCUGCGGCUUAAUUUGACUCAACACGGGGAAACUUACCAGGUUAAAACAAUAGUGGGAUUGACAGCUUGAUAGCGCUUUCUUGAUUCGUUGGGUGGUGGUGCAUGGCCGUUCUUAGUUGGUGGAGUGAUUUGUCUGCUUAAUUGCGUUAACGAACGAGACCUUAACCUGCUUACUAGACUAUUGAUGUUAAAUCGGUAGUUCUUCUUAGAGGGACUUUGGUUGUUUUAACUCCAAGGAAGUUUGAGGCAAUAACAGGUCUGUGAUGCCCCUAGAUAUCCUGGGCCGCACGCGUCAUACAAUGACUAGUUCAGAAAGUUCCAUCCUGACCCGGAAGGGGUUCGGGUAAUCUUGUCAGUGCUAGUCGUGUUAGGGAUAGAUCUUUGCAAUUAUAGAUCUUGAACGAGGAAUUCCUAGUAAGUGCGGUUCAUCAGACCGUACUGAUUACGUCCCUGCUCUUUGUACACACCGCCCGUCGCUUCUACCGAGUGAGUGGUCCGGUGAGACACUUGGAUCAUGAGAGUAAUCUUAUUGAGAAGAGUGUCAAACCUAUCCACUUCGAGGAAGAAGAAGUCGUAACAAGGUUUCC